GUUACUAAUUUCUAAAUCUUACCCACCCAUCCCCAAUUAGUUAAUAAUUUUAGCAAAAGUUUCUUAUUUUCCAUCGCAACAUCUCCAUAUUGAUAUUGAUAGAAUGUUGUUGUUGAGUCAUUACUCAUUUAGGGUUUACAAUUUUUAAUUAAUUUUUAAAAUUAGAGUUGACACAAUAUUAUAUUAGUUUUAGGUGUGCAACAUAGCAAUAAGACAUUUAUAUUGGACUUUAAUAACUUUAAUAAAUUAUUUAUUCUGGCCAGCCUGAGCAGUGGGUUUCUCCUGCCAGAGUUCUGCCCUGAUCUUACACCCCUGCCUUGGGUUAGCAUUGCUGAUUUCCUUCCCUGAAGCUGUCAGGGCAAGAAAUGGCCCCGGGAGAGAGCUGUCUUCCCAUCGUUUCUUCCUCUGUGACCCCUGGUCCUCUCCUGCUUCAUGGCACGUUCCCUGAUGCCAUUGCCCUGCCUUAGACCCAACACCCUCUAUCACUGUAAGAGUUUUUCACAUUCUGAUGUCGACUUCUGACCAUGGCUGAUAUCCAUCCGUCUGUCAUCCCCAUGAGGCCGCCAGUGUUCGCGUAGCAACUGAGUCAGAAGGGAGGGUCAAAUGACGAGUUGCCAUCUUACCUAAAGCUUAAGUUUUAAAUUUGUUUUCUGUUCUUCACAGGGUUACCAGUAGAGGCAAAAAAAAAAAGAUAAUAUGUAUGAAAGUUCUUUAAAACUGUGUUACAUUAAUGUUUCCUAUGUAUUAUUAUGGGGCAUUUUUUUCCUUUAGGGCUUUGAGUGGACAAAGAACUUGGAAAGAAGAAAAAAGUGGACUAAAGAAUAUGAUGCUUGAAGGGAUGGGGACAAAGUACAGAACGAAAAGCCAACGUGAGUUCAUGUUUCUCUCCUGUGUUGCAUCGACAACAAAUGUCAAAGGAAAAAUUAGCACAGAUAUUAAAGGUCUUUUCUAAUGCUUUCAGAAUCAUUAAAAGAUGAGUUGGCAAGAAGAAACACAACCUCAAAAGUCAAAGGGACAACAGCAACAGCAAACCUGAUUUAAAAAUGGGAAAAGAACUUGAAUAGAUAUUUCUCCAAAGAAGGUAUACAAAUAGUCACUAAGCACAUGCAAAGAUGGUGAGCACAUUAUCUUCUAGGGAAGUGCAAAUCAAAACUGCAAGGAUAUACCACUUCAUAUCUAUUAGGAUGACUAGCAGAACACAGAAAAACAAACAACCAAAAAAAGAGAGUAAACAUUGACAAAGAGGUGGAGAAAUUGAAAACCUGGAGCACUCUGGUGGGAAGGUGAAAUAGUGCAGCUUCUAUAGAAAACCAUGUGGCAAUUCCUCCAAAAAUUAAAAAUAGAAUUACGGUGUGAUCCAGCUGUCCCACUUGUGGUAUAUACCGGAAGAAUUGAAAGCAGGGACUCCAACAGACAUUUGUAUGCUGAUGUUCAUGGCAGUAUUAUUCACAAAAGUCAAAAAUGUGGAAGUAACUCAAGUGUCCAGUGAUGGUGAACAAAAGGUAGUGUACACAUACAGAGGAAUAUUAUAUAGCCUUAAAAAGGAAGGGAAUUCUGGCACGUGCUUAAAUACAGAUGAACCUUGAGGUUAUCAUGCUAAGUGAAAUAACCUAGUCAUAACAGAACAAAUCUGCACGAAUUGUUACAUUCAUAUGAGUUACCUAAGGCAGUCACAUUCAUACAGACAGAACAUAGAUAGUGGCUGCCAGGAGCUGGAGGGGGUGGGAAGUUAUUAUUUAAUGUAUGCAGAGUCUUUGUUUAGAAAGAUGAAAGAAGUUCUGGAGACAAUGGCUGUGAUGUUCGCACAAUAGUGAGAAUGUACUUAAUGCCACUGCACUGGACACUUAAGAGUGGUUAUAUUUGCCCAGACUACAUGACUCAGUUGUUUGGGGUUCUUGACUCUUGGGGUUCUCCAACAUCCCUGGGCUGCGUGGACAUAAGCAAAGGGGAGGGGAUUUCUGAGUUCAUUCAGCAUUGGCAUUUUACCAGGUAGAUGAGAAGAAAAGAUAAAGGGCCAGAGAACUUAAGAUAUUGAUGUGAGUUAUUAAAAUAAUGAAGCAUAGCUGAUAUCAGCAUGUUAGGCCACACAACCCCAAAGGUGCCUAAUCUCCAAAGCUAAAAUGAUAAAACAUGCUAUUCAAAAGCAAGAGAAAGUAAGGGGUCAAUGGGAGGGAAGUGCCAAAUGAACUCUCAAAAGUUAGAGAACGUGUAUGUCAAAAUAUUGUAAUUGAAAUUGAAAUCUAAAAUGAUGUAUUAAAAUACAUUGCAUGUAAAAGCUGAUAGAACAGGUGAAAUAAAAUUGGAAAAAUACUGAUAACAGUCAAAGCUGGAGGAUGGGUGCAUUGGGUUUUAUUAUAUUGCAAAAGCACUUAGAAAAAAAACAGACACAGUGUAAGCAGCAAACAGAAAUUUCAAAAAAAUCACAACAAAUAUUUAUAGCUAAGAUUUCAUUCAUAAAAUAAGAAUGGAAACCAGAAAGAAAAAAAAGCAACAAAGGCUGUGUUGGGAGGUCCAAUAUACUAAUUACAGCAGUUCAAAGAAGAAAGUGGAGAAAGUGAAGGGGGAGGUAGGCAACAAAGAAAUGAUUUUUAAAAUUUCCCAGAAUGGAAGCAUACGAAUUAAAGUGUCAAAAGAUCGUGAAACUCAGUGAAUGAAGACCCCUCACCAAUGCACAUCCUGGGGAGUUUUGAUACACUGGAAACAAAGAGAAGAGCCAUUUGGUCUGACCAUCUCUUCCUCAGUCCCUUACCUCCAUUGUGUCCUCUCUUCUCUCAGAUUAAACUCAAGUAUCAAUGAUUCUAAUUAAUUCCUUGCAAAGAACCUCCACUUCUUUCCCCCUCUUGUGCUUUCUCAGCUGUUCUGAGCAAAAUGAUAACCUUGGUUAAAUU